AUGCUGCAGCAAGGUAUACUUGGGGUGAUCCUGGGCGGGUGUUUAGCUCCAGGCGUCAUCGGGAAGUCCUGUGUAGGUGGUUGUACCAUGAAACUGGAAUUUAGGUCGCUGUAGCAGGGGAUAUGGAGAGGGGAGACUCCGUCAAACCAGUGAUGCAGUGAGCAUCAAUGUCUGAUUGAAUCUAACCGUGAAAUAUAUCCGCUUUUCUAAUGAGUGCUUUGCUGAUACACUGCUUUUUUAUCUUAGCGAAGCUCUGUACUUUGCGGGAUUGCUCAGUAAAGGUAAAAUGCACAGUUUUCCUCUUUGUUUAACAUGGACCGUGUUGACGGGCACCAGCAUGCUGCUUUAUCGCCUUAUACAAAGCUAAGGACGCACUGGCGUCUAGAAAUAAGCUUCGGUGCCAAAGCGUAAAACCUUCUAGUAGCGUUAAGUUACACAGUGCGACUGUUCAGAAAGUCCGGAAAUAAAGGUGAAUAUCAGCAGCGGUAACUUCAGGCUGUUUAAAUCCCCCACCAGUGUUGGCUACUUUUUGCAAGGUACGCGUGUUACAAUUUAUUUCCAGAAAAGUGUGAGACACGGCGGAUUCUUCUUACGCCAUUGCCAGCGCUUUAAAGGAGAUGUUUGGAUUCAAUACUGUAUCCUAAGCUGUCUGGGUGAAUGUUUGGGAGACACGGUGGCACCCGAUUUUAAAGAAAUAAUCACACGUCUGAAUAAGCAGCGAGAGGCGUUUCAACUGCAGAACACUACAUCUUCCUACAGUGGGACUUAUUAUACUCCAGUAAAAUAUAACAGUAAUUGCACCUGGCACAUGAUGCUCUGUUUUGUUCUGGAACUGGAAGUAAUUAUGCAUGACGCAAAUGUUUCGAUGGAUACUUUCUGGGAGGACCUCAAGAAUUAUUCAUCCAAGAAUGUGGAGAAGAGUGACUGCCCACAAUGUGAAGAAUAUGAAGAUUCAAAUGCUUCAAUAUUUUUAGAUGGAUUUGACAUAUUUAUAAAGAGUUCAUAACGUAGCACAGUAAGUGUGAAAUAACACUGUAUAAUAUGUCUUUGUUUCUGUCAAGUUAAAGUUGAUUUUCUGUA